AGCUGGCUGCUUUCUGUUGGCAUGCAGUGUGGUGUUUGUUCUUUUGCUCUUUGCAAUAAAUCUUGUUGCUGCUCACUGUUUGGGUCUGCACUGCCUUUAUGAGCUGUAACACUUAUUGUGAAGGUCUGCAGGUUGACUCCUGAGGCCAGGGAGACCACGAACCCACCGGUAGGAAGAAACUCUGGACACAUCCGAACAUCAGAAGGAGCAAACUCCAGACACACCAUCUUUAAGAACUGCAACACUCACCGGAGGGUCCGCGGCUUCAUUGUUGAAGUCAGCGAGACCAAGAACCCACCAAUUCCAGAUGCAGUCUCACCUGUAUAUGGAAUUUAAUAAAGCCAGACUCAUGGAAGCAGAGAGUAGAGCAGAGGUUGCCAGAAGCUUGGAUUGGAGGUAAAUGGGGAGCUGUUGGUCAAAGGGUUAAAAAAAGGCAAGAGUGACAAAUUGUAUUAAAAAAAUUAUUUAAAAUGUGUUUUGACACAUCAUUUUUAUGAUAAUAAUGUUUAUUUAUACCUUUAACCUAAUAUAAUUCAAAUUUAUACUGACAUCCUCCCAUCUGCUCCUUCUGAAGGACAAAGUCAUCUGUCAUUGAUUUAGAGUUCCCAGGGUAUUAUUUAAUUAGGGCUUUGUAAUUAAUAACAACAAGGAAACAUAUUUUUGACAUUUUUGACAAAAAUAUUUUUUCCCCUUCUAGCCUGGCAGAAUCAAUUAUGUAUCCACAUUCAUUCUAAUUGUCUUCCUUUCUUAAGAUUGGAAACUUAGAAAAUAAAAAUGUCACUUAGCUCUCAAUAUGAAAUUAAAUUGUUUCAGAAGACAAGUAUUAUUUUUAAAAUAAUAUUAGCUGUUUUGUAUUAAAAUUUUUUCGUUUGCAGUUAUAGUUAGUAACAUAUCUUUGUAACUAGCAAAGAAAUUAAGAACAGUAUCAUAAACAGCUGUUUCAUUUAAGGAUAAUCUAAUGCAUUUCAUUUUUUGACUCAGAUUUUAAUAUACACAUGUCAAAGUAAAACUGGAUUUUAUGUAGAGGUUAAUUUGAGAAAGGGUUUUAAAUGUGUAAUUUAAAUUUUCUCAAGUUGUGCCAUCCUGUAUUUUAAGUCAGAGUAAAAGUUAUAACACAAA
ensembl:lncRNA LINC00564 long intergenic non-protein coding RNA 564